UUCCGACCCAGUAAUUCUGGGGUGUGUCCCAGGCAUCCGGGCUUUCCAGAGCUUACAGAUGGUCAAGAAGCUCAGGCGGAGCUGAGCGACCGAGGACUGGUCUAUGAAAGGCAACGAGAAAGGGCGGCUUUCCGUCCACCUCCUCCUCCACGGCCCCGCCUCACCUCCUCGCCCUGUUCACCCUGUUGGGAGGCGUGGGCGUCAGCAGAUUCAUUCCCGAGGCGCUCGGAGAAGCGGAGCAUCAGAGACGACCGAAGGCCGGCAGUGUUCACGCUGGACGCUGAUCCCAGCAAACGGCUGGAGGAACGCAGCAGGAUCGAGGACUCGGGGCUAAGGCUCAGCUUUGAACGUCUUGACAGCAAAUGUGGGGUGUGAGAGACGGCACUGCUGGGACUUGAUUUGCGUGAAAUAACUCUUACACGUGCUUUGCCAGUUUUUCUAUACUUGUAAAAUGACUUUCUGCUAGAGAGCUCUAGACACUCUCAAAUAAAGCACAACCGUUUUUAAAUAAAGGUUGUCGAGUGGGUUAAUUUACUUGAGCAGUGAAAAUUUACCAAGUGCCCCCUGGGCGCAGGCCGCUGGGCUCAGGACCAUGGAGACAGAAUUUCACCCGACAAACGUUUAUUGAGCGCUGCUCCGGGAGUGGGGCUGUAUCAGUGAGAAAACAAGGAGAGACAAAAAUCCCUACCCUUUCGGAGUUUACAUCUAACGGGGAGAGACGGGCAGGGAAAAGUAAACAUGGAGCUUUGGAACCUGGCGUGUGGUUACACCUACAGCACAGCUCAGUCCAGAGCAGCCACACUCCAAGAGCUCAGUGGACGCCUGGGCUAACGGCUGUGGUGCUGGAUGGUGCAGCUUCGGGCAACAGAGGUGCGCGCUGUGAGAGACAGAUUUCCACUUCUGGAAAACAAAAUGACUGCCCGUUUAAAGUAGAAGAGGUGGUUCAGCAGACCAUGCAGGGAAUCAACCACUAUGAAGGACAAGCAUCUUUUAGGAUUUUGGGAUCUGCGUAGCUGGGUCAGUGCUGGGAUGGGGGACAUGAAAGGACCCAGUGCUGUGGUGGGUGCUCCUGGCCCAAUCCUCUUUCUCAGAAGCGUCACUCACCAAUCUUCUCCCAAACUGGCUCAGCUCAGCCAAUGAGAAAUGCCACAGCUCAGCUAAUGAGAAA
rnacentral:lncRNA from 1 species